UCAUUUCUCUUGUCUCUCCUCUCUCUCUCUCUCUCUCUCUCUCUCUCUCUUGCCUGCAGCCGCCGCGCUCCCAUGGCAUGAUCUCGCCUGGGCCUGCAGCGAGGGCACGAGAUCCUGUGCUCGAGCUCCGCCGCACGCACAGGCUGGGAGCGACAACCUCCAUCCCAGUCACCGUGAACCGCAUGAGUGAGAUCCGCACCGACUGCCAUGAGGACGCGGGCGAGCUCUGCCCCAGCCACCGCGAGUGCCUCAUCGUCGAGAACCCCGUCUCCCGCUGCCCUCCAUCGGCGGUGCCGUGCAAAAAUGGCCAAGCAGGCCCAGGCUCUUCGUCAUCACCGUCAUGGCUCCUCGCGGAUCUAUGAGUGGUGAGGGUACUUCUGAUGCUUUUUCUCUUCCUGAUUGUGAGCUUGUUACUUCCUUUGGGCGAGGCGCGCUGUAGAUGAUGGUGGCUUCCUUCAGGCUAGAUUUGGUGUGGUGACAAUGGCUUCCUCCCAUGGCGGACAGUACCCAUGUGUACGUCGACCCAUGUGUCGUGCCAUUAGUUCUUCCCUUGGGUUUUGAAAGACAAAAUGCUAUGUCAUUUGUUGAAGCUUUAGUGUUGGUGCUUGCAAAUAAACAGGACACUCAGGGUGCAUGACCACAUACAACAAUCAGCAAGGUCAAGGCUUCUUUUGGUGAUGAUGCAUUUUGGCAAGUUGUCUUCCUGCAAUGUUAGUCUGUGAAUUGGUGGAUGUGGUCUCUUGAAUUGAACUGAUGCAUGGUCUUCGUCCUGCGCAGUUAUGUGAACUGAUGUAAGGUUUGAUGCAUGCCAGUGGUGUGCCAAACUUCAUAUGUAACUGAUAGCUAUGUUGGAUAUUUAGAUGUAUCUGUGAUGAUGGGACAUCUACCUAUUUAUGUGAUGGCAUAUUUAUAUGUAUCUGUGAUGAUUUGUGGUGA